rnacentral:rRNA from 1 species
CGGAUGUCUGGCUAUAUAUUAAAGAUAAACAUGUUAAAUUAAUAUCUAAUAUAAAUCUAAUAAUAAACAAAGUGAAUUGAAAUAUCUUAAUAACUUUAGGAAAAAAAAUCAAACGAGAUUUUAUUAUUAGUGCAAACUAAUAUAAAAAAGCUUACAAGUAAAAUGGAAAAUAUCUGUUUGAAUAAAGGGGAACCUUCCUCUAAAGCUAAAUAUAAUAUAUAAGCGAUAGCGUAUAGUACCGUGAGGUAUAGAUAUAAAUAGUAGUUUUAUAAGCAGCUCAAAAAAAAAUUUAAAUAAAUAAUACGAGCGGACCUUUUGCAUAAUGGGUCAGCAAGUUAAAUUUAGAUGCAAGCAAAUAAAAUUUAUUUGCCUAGAUAAACCAAUUAUGAAAAAAUGAUAAGUAUCUAAAUUUAGACCCGAAGGCUAGUGAUCUUACCAUGAUCAGGCUUAAGGCCGAACGGGUAAAAAACAAGAUUGAGCUCUUGUCAAAGCCCGAGUAAAAGUAAACCUUUUGCUAAAAAUCAUUAAAUUGACGGGGAAAUCCUAAAGCAAUCUAAGCAUUUUUAAACAAUAGAUUAUUAAAUAAAAUAUAUUAUAAUAAAAAAAAAAGCAUAAAACUAUAUUAUCUGUUAAAUGGAUAGUUUAAGAUAUAUUAUCUUCAUAUGUUAAAUAUUGAUAUAUCUGCUAUUUAGGGAUAAAAAUCUCAGCUCUGCCUAAUAAAAAGGCUAAAGAGAUAAACUGUAUCGUUGUAGAGAUAUCCGAUGAAUUGUGGUAAGUUGGUGAAAGACAAAACUGACUAGUAUAGCUGGUUUUCCGCGAAACCUAUGUGAGUAGGUAAUUUAAUUAACAUCUUAGCAGGUACAGAACUAGGAUCUCGGACAAUAUGUAAAUUUUGUGCACAUCGGGGGAUCGUGAUGAUUUUAUCGGAGAGUAUUUGCACUCGAAAGGGCAAAGAUGAAUAUUGAAUAAUCGGACAUAGUACGAUAAGGUUGUAUGUCUAAAGGGAAACAGCCCUGAACAAGAGUUAUAAGGUUCCAAAAUUAUUAUUAAGUGAAAUUAAGGAUGUACUUAUCAAAUACAACCAGGAAAUAGGCUUAGAAGCGGCCAUUUUUUGAAGACCUCGUAACAGAGCACUGGUUAAUAAAAAAUUUUUUUAGAUAGAUAUGUAUACCGAAAAUUUAACGGAUCUAAAUAAUAUACCGAAACCUUGUUCGUAUAUAUUAAUAUAUAAUAUUAUUUACUAGUUUAAAUAUAUAUAUAUAUAUAUAUGAGGUAGCGGAACAAUGGAUAAAUAUUAGAUUUUUUCUUUUUUAAGAAAAAAAAAUUCUAUAAUAAUCCAAGAGAGAAUGCUGGCAUGAGUAACGAAAAAGGAUAUUAUAUCCUCGCCUUAAGCUUAUGGUAUUUAAUUAAAAUUUCGGUGUCUAAGUAGGAAGAUAAAAGAGUAAAACUGUCAUGAGUUUGAAAAACUUCUCCUAAUGGAUUUUUACGAUGAUAUAUUGAUUAGAGAAAAAAACCUUUAUAAAGUGUUAAAGGUUCUGGAAAUUAAAUCUAAUCCAAAACAUGUAGAGCGAACCCAAAUAACUCUAUUACAAAAAGAUAUAAGACCGUACCUAAAUACUAACACAAGUAAGCAAGUAGAGUAUACAAAGGCGUUUGAGCGAACAAUCCUUAAGGAACUCGGCAAAUUGACUCCGUAACUUCGGGAUAAGGAGAGCCGUUAUUAUAGAAAAAAAAAAUUUUUUUUCUGUUAAAUAAGAGGAAACAUAAAAUAAUGUUGUACGACUGUUUAAUUAAAACAAAUCACUCUGCAAAGAUUAAAAAUCAAAGUAUUGAGUGUGAUGUCUGCCCAAUGUCGGUUGUAUAACUGAGAUGCUUAAUUUAAAAAGUUAAGUUUUGAAGGACACCCCGAUCAAUGGCGGUCUUAUCUAUAAGGAUCCUAAGGUAGCGGAAUACCUUGGCCGUUAAAUGCGGUCUUGCAUGAAUGACUUAACGAUACAACAGCUGUCUCGAGGAUUGGCUCAGUGAAAUUGAACAGGCUAAUUUGCGCAAGAGAGUACAAAUUGAGUGCGCGGUUUGGCACCUCGAUGUCGGCUUAGCUCAUCCACAUGAAUGCAGAAAUCAUGAAGGGUACGACUGUUCGUCGGUUAAAGAGCUACACGAGCUGGGUUUAUUAUUAAUUAAUACGUCGUGAGACAGUAUGGUUUCUAUCUUCUAGAGAUAAUUAGAGUAUAAUAUAGAUAGCCCCUUCGUACGAAAGGAGUUGGGUAUGCUGGCCUAUGGUUUACCUGUUGUUUAACUUUGAUAUUAUAUAUAUAUAUAUAUAUCCUAGACUAUUUUCACUUAAGUAGUAUUGUUUAUUAAGCAUGGCAGGAAAGCUAAGUCAGUUAGAGAUAAGUGCUGAAUGCAUUUAAGCGCGAAGCUUACUAUACUAUACUCUUAUAAACGUAGUAGAACACUACGAAGUAUUUUUAUUACAUAGGCUUUAGUUGUAAGAAUCUUAAUUGUUUUGAGGCAUAAAGUACUAAUUAACUAA